rnacentral:rRNA from 1 species
UACGGAGGGUGCAAGCGUUAUCCGGAUUUACUGGGUUUAAAGGGUGCGUAGGCGGGUUGAUAAGUCAGGGGUGAAACCUCCGAGCUUAACUCGGAAACUGCCUUUGAUACUAUCAGUCUUGAAUUCAGUUGAGGUGGGCGGAAUGUGUCGUGUAGCGGUGAAAUGCUUAGAUAUGACACAGAACACCAAUUGCGAAGGCAGCUCGCUAAACUGACAUUGACGCUGAGGUGCGAAAGCGUGGGGAGCAAACAGG